GGACUACUGGGGUAUCUAAUCCUGUUUGCUCCCCACGCUUUCGUGCCUCAGCGUCAGGAAAGGCCCAGUUGCCCGUCUUCACCAUCGGCGUUCCUGUAGAUAUCUACGCAUUUCACCGCUCCACCUACAGUUCCGGCAACCCCUACCUUCCUCAAGACCCGCAGUAUGCCCCGCUGUUCCCCGGUUGAGCCGGGGGAUUUCACAAAGCACUUGCGGGCCGGCCUACGCACCCUUUAAGCCCAGUGAUUCCGAUUAACGCUCGGGGCCUCUGUCUUACCGCGGCUGCUGGCAC
rnacentral:rRNA from 1 species